UGGGGAAUAUUGCACAAUGGAGGGAACUCUGAUGCAGCGACGCCGCGUGAGUGAUGAAGGAAUUCGUUUCGUAAAACUCUGUUCUAUGGGAAGAAAAGGACUGUACCAUAGGAGAAAGCUCCGGCUAAAUACGUGCCAGCAGCCGCGGUAAUACGUAUGGAGCGAGCGUUGUCCGGAUUUAUUGGGCGUAAAGGGUGCGCAGGCGGCUUUACAAGUUGGAUGUGAAAAAUUGUGGCUCAACCACAAACGUGCAUCCAAAACUGCAAAGUUUGAGUUAAGGAGAGGUAAGUGGAAUUCCUGGUGUAGCGAUAGAAUGCGUAGAUAUCAGGAGGAAUACCGGUGGCGAAGGCGACUUACUGAACUAAAACUGACGCUCAGGCACGAAAGCGUGGGGAGCAAACAGG
rnacentral:rRNA from 1 species